rnacentral:rRNA from 1 species
CACGUAGGGGCGAGCGUUGUCCGGAAUUACUGGGCGUAAAGGGCGCGCAGGCUGUUAUGCGAGUCUGCUGUGAAAUGUACCGGCUCAACCGGUGCCUUGCGGCGGAUACUGCAUAGCUGGAGUACUGGAGAGGGAAGUGGAAUUCCCGGUGUAGCGGUGAAAUGCGUAGAUAUCAGGAGGAACACCGGUGGCGAAGGCGGAUCUCUGGGCCGAUACUGACGCUGAGGCGCGAAAGCGUGGGGAGCAAACAGGAUUAGAUA